UUCUUCAUUUUUUGAAAAAAAAAAUUUCUCAUCAAAGACAUAAUACACUAUGUUACUUAAAUAUCCCUGUCUUAGAUGCCAAGAAUUAAAUUCUGUGAACUGAUAUACGCCCCCAUCCUGAUAACAAAAGUUAUGCAAUUUAUGAGGGCCCCUCUCUUGACACUGCUGCAGAAAAACCCUUACACUCUAUGGGAGCCUCUUUGCGUACCCUCAGAGUGGGCAUCUGUCUCCUUUUCCUGUCAUGCCCCAUACAUCUUCCUCUAGUCUCUUAGCCCAAACUGAAGCUCCCUUUCUAAAAACCUCCUUGUGGCCCGGGGAUUUAGCUCAGUGGCACUGCGCCUGCCUUGCAAGCACAAGGUCCUGAGUUCGAUCCCUGGUACCAAAAAAAUAAAAACCUCCUUGUGGGUUGUGUGAUACAAAUAAAUAAAUCAAAAGACUGGCUUAAUCUUACUGGUGGAUGAAAGGAAAUCAGGUUCUCUGUGAACAUUUAAGCAUGUCCAAAGUCUUUGUGAUAAACAAUGAAUCGGUAUAAACUAAACGCCCAGUUCACGUUAAAAUCCUAAGCCUACACUGGAAAAGAAAAACUAUUUUGAAGACUUCUCAGACUUUAGGUUGAAUUGUGUCCAGAUCCACUAAGCAGCAUUCCAAGCUCUUAGUAAACGUCAAAACCAUACACAAAGAAAGCAAACAAGAAUAUGACUCAUUAGUGUUUUAGACAAUCUAGAGCCCAAUGUUUUCACCGUGUCUCUUGCUGCCAGUUUGGCCUGGCUGUCUCCCAGAAGGUGGCCUUCUAACUUUCCUGAGCACAACAGCUCCCCUCCUUUCUCAGUGGCUUUUAUUCUUCCUAGAGAUUUGUUUUCUUCAGUUUACACCAUCGAUGGCGCAUGCUCUUCUCCAGGAGCCAGCCCUUGAUACUGAGAGGAGAUAUGCAUCCAGUACCUUUAAAAUGAACAUCUGCGUUGCCUGAAAUAAUUAGCAUUUUGCUUUACGAGGCAUCCUGCUUUGCAUUUAUACUGCACCCUGAAUCAAGUGACUUCAAGACCCUGAAUUACUUCAUUUCCCCAACACAGCUCGCCUGCCCAAUAUUGCAGAAAGAUCUGAAGAAACUUUAUUCUAAUUUAACCUAGAAAAUGGGCGAAAGUGAAAUUAAGCAUUGGAGGCAAUAAAAUCAGGAGCCUGGAAUACGAACACCUGGAGAUGAAACUUGGAGCUGCGCGUCGAAGCCCAGCUGCUUGCGAGAACUCCGGAGCACUGAGGAGGGCCAUCAGCAGCACACACAGCUGGCCUCGCAGUGGCCCCUGUGACCGUGUCAGAACAGCACAAACGAUUUGCAAGACAGUAAAGAUCAGCUAUCCUGUCGUUCUACAGCUGCCUUCACACUCCAUCAAACAGGAAAACAAAGAAGAGCAGUAUCUCAGGACUCCUGGAAACACCAAUUGUAUUAGCACUUCUGAUUGAAGCCCCUGUGACAAGUGCCCGUGGCCAAAAUGAAGCUGGAGUUUCCGUAUACUCUGCAAAUCUGAGUGGUCAGAAGUGCCUUUAUCCUAAACAACAAAAUGCCCUCCAACCGUGAGCUUUCCCAGCCUGGAAGUGGAUGCAGCCCAUCCAGUAUGGAUGUGAGGUGCCGACAUUUCCACAUCAUGUGGACUCCAUGCACACUAUAAAUCCCCAUGCCCAAGCCCAUUUGGACCAGCAUUCCCAUGGAUGUUGAGAUGUGCCAGGCGAGCAUUGGUACCCUGAAGAUUCUCUGCCCCACUGUGAGUCACACCUUCUGUCAUCAGGCAUCGUGGGGCUGCCAGGCACUGACUCAUCACUGCUGGUAGUGGAGCUGCCAGUGUUCCUGCUGCUCCUUAUGAUAUGACAGAGUUUCAUGACUGCCAUCGAGAGCCAGCAACUAAGAACCUCAUGCCUUCUUUCUCCAACCUACACACUUUCUCCUUGCCAAAGCCCCUUCCCUCACUGAAAAACUGGCGGGAUCUCUGCAGGCUCUGGAAAGACUUCCAGCUAUGGCACACACCACCAGCUCUGGAAGUCCCCACUUCCUGAAGACACUUUCGUGCCACUAAAAGGUCUAAACUUCAGUGGAGAGCCCCUGUACCUUUCCUACUCUGCGGCUGAGCACAAAGUAGCAAGACUAGGACCAUAGUUUCAAUUAUUGUCAGAAUGUUCCAUCAUCUUCUCUCUAGUGGCUUUGCAACAUUCAUAAUCCCUGUCCUCAGAGGGGAGGCCUCUGCCAAUUUGCAUGGCUGCUAUUUAAAGAUGAAACCCAAAAGGUAUACAUAUGCUCCAACAUGGCUGCAAUUUUAGCUGUUCAGAGAACACAGCAAGAUAAAUAACCAUGCCAUGAGAAAUUACAGCAUUAUGUACUGCAAUAAAUAUGACAAAUGAUAGGCCAGAUAUUCAUUGGCUCAUAACAGUUGGCAGGCAUAACCAUCUGUGGAUCCAAAGUUCAAACUAUUUGUUUUCUCUCCUCCAGCUGCUUUGAUAUUUCUUCUCCACAGCUGGAACCUCUGGCCUCUAAGGUAGCCUGCACAACCUUGCAAAACCUGUGACCUUGUUAAGGUUCCAUUAAGAAGUGGGGGAAUUGAAGCUAAAAGACCAAUCUCUAGUUAUGUAUGAGAAAGAGAGAGAGAGA